rfam:Gossypium raimondii Chr09_contig_99, whole genome shotgun sequence.
UGUCAAAAUUUUUAUUUAUUUGUAUUGUUAAAAAUGAGUGUAGUUGACGAAAUAAUUAGACAGUGACAUAUGGUGGGCCACGCGUAUUUCAUGCUGAUGUAUAAAGAUCAGUUUUUAACCGUAGAAAUUGAUGAAAUUUUUAACA